rnacentral:misc_RNA from 1 species
CGCUCCGCGACGAUGACUCUUGCAGCCUCAGCAGCGUGCGUGCGUAUGCAUACGCGGGUGCAUGUGCUUGUGUGUGUAUCGAUUCCCGUCAUUCCUCCCUCGGCCUCUUACCAUGCCCGACUCCUGCUUGCUAUCGCGCAGCCCCCCCCCCUCCCCAAGCCCCUUCCACACUCACACACACGCACGUACGCUGUUGAGGGUGGCGUACCUGCUAAGGGAUGGUGCUGCUGAUGCUGUUCUUCCGCCCUGACGCCUUUUAACCCACCCACACACACACACACACACACACACCUCUCUAACCCGUGAGAAGCGGUACAGAAGACGUGGUGCGCCGGGGUGAAACGUUAUCCGCCGUGCGGCAACGCGCCAUGACACAUGGGGGCUCCCCUCGACGUUCUCUCAGGCGGCGGGGGCUCAUCGGUGCUCCUGCCGGCAGCGCGCGCGGGUGUUCGACGCCGGCGCCAACACAGCCGCUGCGCACCGUCUCUGUUCGUCACACUUCUAGCUCUUGCGCUCCUGAGCACUGUCCGUGUUAGCGCCUUCAGCGACCCAUUCGAACAGGUGCCAAACGCCUUUCAAACCACCGACACCGCCGUGCGCGCCGUCUACGAGGCGGCGCAGCUCACCCGUUCCAACCCUGCGUGGGGCAGCCAGCGCCUGCUUCGCAGCGAUUCCUACGUUCUCUGUGUCGCUAACGGCGGCGGGGGCAGUGGUGGUGCGGCGAACAGCAGCUCGACUGCAGUCGACCUCAUCGCGCGGGCGUGGUGCACCGAGAGUGGAAAGGGCAUUCUUGUCAAGCAGUCCGUUUUUUGGAGUAUGCUGGCCUCGCCUGGCCUCCAGCUCAGCGACUCGUCGAUGGUAAGCAGUCGCGCACUCUCGUGGGACUGUCUUACUUACUCAUGCGACAUGGAGAACACGAUCGUGGCGCACGCGACUGUGAACGCGUCCAGCAGCUCGACAGACGUGACCUACACGUCGCCGCUUCCAGCCGUUGGCGGCCUCGGCGUUUCCACGCCGUGUUGCGGCUCCACGAACAGCACGUUCGUGCUCUACAUGACGCGAGGCCUACUGGUUCAGUCCGCUACCUUGCCCGUGACAGCCUUGAACAACGAGGCCGCAGCGCUCUACAGCGCCUUUAUAGACGCAGAAAGCGCGCGCAAUCCGCUCGGCGAGCGCAGCAACAAGAACAGCAGCGGCGGCGGCGGCGGUAGCGGGGCAGACCGCGCGGAGGCUGUAACCGCCAAGGACUUAGUCGCCGGGCCGUCCAGGUCGAAGGAGAUGGACUUCUGCCUGGUGCGGCAGCUCGCGCCUUCUUUCUACGCCCGAAGUGCUCGCUCAGACCGCGGUGACGGUGGCGCCGUCUUUGCUGUGAACGCGUCCAUCUGCGGCGCUGAUAUCAGUGAUCGCAUCAACGAGCAGGAUGCCACGCUUGUCAUGCGCGGUUACACGGCAGUGCUGACGGCAGCAGAGGGGGUAGAGGCACUUUCCUUUCCGAAGGAGCUUAUCGUGGGCAUCGCAUCGUGGAUCGCCUCCACCCGGCACAACGCCUCCUGCAACGACGACGCCAAGCAGAGCCUGCUGCGCACGAAGGGGUGCUGCAAGUGGGGCUGGAACGCGAGCCAGGCCACCGCUUACCGCACCGGCGAGUACCUUGAGUGCCUUUUCGACACCUCGAUGCUCGCGCACCUGCCGCCGCUUGUGCUGUCCUUGCGCAACGAGUCCAUCGUGAGCACGGCCGAAACGAACAGUACAUGCAGCAUCGCGCUGCAGCUCAACUCGUGCGUGAGCCCAGACGGCAACGCGCUUCGCUUCUACUCCACCGGGUCGCUCGUCGAUGAGCUGAAUCGUCACAGGCACUCCUUGAAGAACUUUCACGAGCCGGCGAUCGUGGUAGGGGUGCAGCAGCUGCGCGGCGCCACCGUCGCCGUGACACGGAGUGCAAGGGUCGCUAAGUGGUUCAUCGGUACCUCCAAUGCAGGGUACAACCUCGCGCUGCUGUACCUGGCAGUGCCGCGCGGGACGGCAGUUGCAGCGGACGUGAGCGCGGCUGGCGCCCUGUGCGUCGCCAAGACCGUGUGCAGCACGAAGCAAACGUUUUACGCAUCGCUAAACCGGUGCGCCUAUGUGCCUUGCACGCGUGUGCUCUUCUACUCCUUUCACGCCGACACGUUCACCUGCACCCCGCGCACUGCCUGCGUCAGCAUCGUCGCCGCUCUAUGCUUUUCACUGCUGGUUGCCGAGAGCGUCGUCCUGCACCUCCGUCGCAGGACGGAGCUGGCCAAAGAGGAGCACAUGCGGCUGUUGCUGCAGGUGCAGCGGCGCAACAUAGAGGCGCAAUGAUGGUGCUGAGCAUGUGCGUGCGCCGUUGCUUGCUCGCUUUAUUUUUCCGGCUGUCCCUCGUCUGUGCGUGUGCGUGAAAUCU